CUGGAGGAUAGGGCAUUUGGUUCUCCCCUCCCAGUGCCCCCUGCUUUUUUAUUGAGACAAGGUCUCACUCUGUCAUCCAGGCUAGAGUGCAAUAGCAUGAUCUUGGCUUACUCAGCUUACUGCAACCUCUGCCUCCCAGGCUCAAGUGAUCCUCCCACCUUAGCCUCCCGAGUAGCUGGGACUACAGGCAUGCGCUACCAUGUCAGCUAAUUUUUGCGUUUUUUUGUAGAGAUGGGCUUUCGCCAUGUUGCCCAGGCUGGUCUCGAACUCCUGAACUCAAGCAUCCUCCCACCUUGCCUCCCAAAAUGCUAGGAUUACAGGUGUGAGCCACCUCACCUGGCCCAGUGUAGCUUUUUAACACAAAUUUUAUAUAGCUCAGGUUACUGGAAACACUGUAAAAUGCCACCUACUUUUUCUUUUCACAGCUGACACUUCUCCCAACUAACAGAAACUGGCAAACAUUGUAGAGGAAGUGUCCACUGAGUGAAUGAGUAUAUAAUUUAUGAAAACAGAAAAGUGCUUUGGAAAAAAAAAAAAAAAAAGACAACAGGAGUACAUACAGUGAACCAAAAAGAGUGUACCAGGAGGAGCAGACCCUGAACAGUUAGAACUAUGGAAAUCGCUAUGCUUUGUGUUGUCACAGGAGUUAAAAUAGGAAUACCCUGCAUACGAUAAAUAUUUAUUGGAUAAAUAACUAAGCCUGAUACCCUUUUCAAUGCAUUAUACAGACUCUAUCAUCACACCACUAAUCUAAGUUCUCAGAAGUUAAACAUUACAAGACUUCAGAACAACAUAGGCGUCUUUGGCUCCAUUUAACAGAAGAAGGACCAUACUGAUCAUUUAAUCUCUAUGAGUCUGUCUUAUCUUCUGGAAAAGGGGCCUAACACCAUUUCCUUUUGCAAAAAGGUAGCUGCCUUGCUUCCAGUUCUACCAUCCUCUAGCAACCCAUCUUUCUCUUAUUUGAUGUCUCUGAUCAGCUCCUCUUCCAGCACAAACUGGAGAAAGGGGAUCCUUUCUGUUUUCUUGGAGGCUUCUGAACUCAAUUACAGGUCUGCAUUAAAAAUGUAUGGAGAAAGCUGGUGAUCAGUUUGUACAUAUGGACAAGUUCAAGGCAGUAUGGUCUAC
rnacentral:antisense_RNA from 1 species